rnacentral:rRNA from 1 species
GCUGGCGGCAGGCCUAACACAUGCAAGUCGAGCGGUAACAUUUCUAGCUUGCUAGAAGAUGACGAGCGGCGGACGGGUGAGUAACGCGUAGAAAUCUACCUAGUAGUGGGGAUAGCCCAGAGAAAUUUGGAUUAAUACCGCAUACGCCCUACGGGGGAAAGCGGGGGAUCUUCGGACCUCGUGCUAUUAGAUGAGUCUGCGUCGGAUUAGCUUGUUGGUGAGGUAAUGGCUCACCAAGGCGACGAUCCGUAGCUGGUCUGAGAGGAUGACCAGCCACACUGGAACUGAGACACGGUCCAGACUCCUACGGGAGGCGGCAGUGGGGAAUAUUGCACAAUGGGCGCAAGCCUGAUGCAGCCAUGCCGCGUGUGUGAAGAAGGCCUUAGGGUUGUAAAGCACUUUCAGCAGUGAGGAAAGGGGUGUCGUUAAUAGCGCCAUCCUGUGACGUUAACUGCAGAAGAAGGACCGGCUAACUCCGUG